rnacentral:lncRNA from 1 species
CUGGCUAGAUGUGAAACCCAAUGGGUCACACACAAAGAGAAUUGAUCAUGGGUUUUGUUGGUGCAAAAAUCUGCUUGCGCCGGAGAAGCUGGAGUUGGGGGAGCCGCGGUCGCCGUCGGGACCUGCAAAGGAAGUCUAAACCGGAGGUGGGGUUGCUCCGGCAAGACCCUCCGACGCUCAAGUCAGUUCUCUGCCUCAACAAGAAUGGAGCGCUCGAACGGAGAAUUUAGCAGAGUUUUGAGAUAAAAAAUGAGCUUAUAGAAUAACGUAUCUGGGUCCUCCCUUUUUAUAGGCGGGAGAGGUAGCGGAUUGAUGGCGAUAUCGGUAACCAUCUAGCAGUGGGCUGCCCAGGGUCAGGCGGAGUUUGCUGCGAAGAGUAGUGGAAUAGACUCGUGGCUAUCACUGGGGCGUGCCAUGUGGAGUCUGUCGCGUGAAGUGGGGCGACGUUUGUUGUCGUGACUUGCCAGCGGAUGGGAGAAUUGUGCGGUAUCCGUUGCAGGAGGUGGAGCAGGAUCGCGGCCGUUUAUCGUGGCCUGUCAGGUAGUAAUGGAGCCGUGUGGGAUCCGUCGUAGGGAGUGGAGCAGUGCUGUGAUCGUUACUGCGGCCUGUCAGGGAGUGGUGGAGCUGCGCAGAAUCUACUGCAGGAAGUGUAGCAGAAUCGUGACCGUGAUUGUGGCCCGGGAGUGCAGACUGUCGGCUGAAGUUUGGCAGUGGUCGGAAUCUGACCCCACGUAGGGGUCCGGGC